AGCGAACGCUGGCGGCAUGCUUAACACAUGCAAGUCGCACGAGGGGUUUCGGCCUCUAGUGGCGGACGGGUGAGUAACGCGUAGGUAUCUAUCCUGGGAUGGGGGAUAACAGCGGGAAACUGCUGCUAAUACCGCAUGAUGCCCGAGGGCCAAAGGCGCGAGUCGUCUUGGGAGGAGCCUGCGUCCGAUUAGCUAGUUGGUGGGGUAAAGGCCUACCAAGGCGACGAUCGGUAGCUGGUCUGAGAGGAUGAUCAGCCACAUUGGGACUGAGACACGGCCCAAACUCCUACGGGAGGCAGCAGUGGGGAAUAUUGGACAAUGGGCGAAAGCCUGAUCCAGCAAUGCCGCGUGGAUGAAGAAGGUCUUCGGAUUGUAAAGUCCUUUC
rnacentral:rRNA from 1 species